GACGUAGGGCGCGAGCGUUGUCCGGAUUUAUUGGGCGUAAAGGGCUCGUAGGCGGUUUGUCGCGUCGGGAGUGAAAACUCAGGGCUUAACCCUGAGCCUGCUUCCGAUACGGGCAGACUAGAGGUAUGCAGGGGAGAAUGGAAUUCCUGGUGUAGCGGUGAAAUGCGCAGAUAUCAGGAGGAACACCGGUGGCGAAGGCGGUUCUCUGGGCAUUACCUGACGCUGAGGAGCGAAAGUGUGGGGAGCGAACAGG
rnacentral:rRNA from 1 species